rnacentral:rRNA from 1 species
GACGAGGGGUCCAAGCGUUGUUCGGAAUUACUGGGCGUAAAGGGCUCGUAGGCGGCCAACUAAGUCAGACGUGAAAUCCCUCGGCUUAACCGGGGAACUGCGUCUGAUACUGGAUGGCUUGAGUUUGGGAGAGGGAUGCGGAAUUCCAGGUGUAGCGGUGAAAUGCGUAGAUAUCUGGAGGAACACCGGUGGCGAAGACGGCAUCCUGGACCAACACUGACGCUGAGGAGCGAAAGCCAGGGGAGCAAACGGG